rnacentral:misc_RNA from 1 species
GAUGAAGAACGUAGCGAAAUGCGAUAAGUAGUGUGAAUUGCAGAAUUCAGUGAAUCAUCGAAUCUUUGAACGCACAUUGCGCCCCUUGGUAUUCCAUGGGGCAUGCCUGUUCGAGCGUCAUUUGUACCUUCAAGCUUUGCUUGGUGUUGGGUGUUUGUCUCGCCUCUGCGUGUAGACUCGCCUUAAAACAAUUGGCAGCCGGCGUAUUGAUUUCGGAGCGCAGUACAUCUCGCGCUUUGCACUCAUAACGACGACGUCCAAAAGUACAUUUUUACACUCUUGACCUCGGAUCAGGUAGGGAUACCCGCUGAACUUAAGCAUCUCAAUAAGCGGAGGA